GUGGGGAAUAUUGCACAAUGGGGGGAACCCUGAUGCAGCAACGCCGCGUGAGUGAAGAAGUAUUUCGGUAUGUAAAGCUCUAUCAGCAGGGAAGAUAAUGACGGUACCUGACUAAGAAGCUCCGGCUAAAUACGUGCCAGCAGCCGCGGUAAUACGUAUGGAGCAAGCGUUAUCCGGAUUUACUGGGUGUAAAGGGUGCGUAGGCGGCAAGGCAAGUCAGAUGUGAAAGACCGGGGCUCAACCCCGGGGCUGCAUUUGAAACUGUUUUGCUGGAGUCCAGGAGAGGCAGGCGGAAUUCCUAGUGUAGCGGUGAAAUGCGUAGAUAUUAGGAGGAACACCAGUGGCGAAGGCGGCCUGCUGGACUGGUACUGACGCUGAGGCACGAAAGCGUGGGGAGCAAACAGGA
rnacentral:rRNA from 1 species